rnacentral:rRNA from 1 species
AUGGAGGGCGCUGUGGUAAGCGCUUCCAUGGGUGUGAUUGGCCCGCUCCUCGCCGAGCUUACCAUCUUGUGUGCGCGCUUGCCCGAAGGCCGCCCAAAAACGGAGAUGGAGUUCUUCGAGGAGAAUCUGAGGAGCAUCCAGGAGAUGGUGUCCUCUCUCCACGCCGUGAAGAUGUCUCACAUGGUGGAAGAGGACGCGCUGCUGAAGAAGAGGUGGGCGAAGCAAGCCCGGGAGAUCGCCUACGACACGCAAGACUUCGUCGACCUCUUCAGGCACGGCGCCGGCCUGUCUCUGUCUGAUGACACGGCCGGGGUUAUGCCCAAGACUGCUGGGCGUCUCAAGAAGCUAAGGAGGUUCAGUAGCCGCCCCAAGCAGCCAAGGUUAGAUCGUGAGAUGGUCAACAAGGUCGAGGAGCUUAAGGCUCGUAUGACCGAAUUGAUUGAGCGGCACAGGAGGUUCAAGAUCGCCAUGGAUCCCAGCUCCCCCCCAAAACAAGACGUGCCCGGUUGUUCAGGGCAUCAGAUCCAGAUCCAGAUCCAGAGUGAGGCAUCCUCUUCUGGUACUCGUACUUCCAGGUGCCCAUCUGUGCCCAUAGAUGCUUAUUUCUCGGCACUCUAUGCCGGGGGAGACGGACUUGUUGGCAUCGAUGGCCCCAGCGACGAUCUCACCGCGCUGCUCAUGGAUGACAUGCAACAAUUGAAGGUGGUUUCUGUUCUGGGUCCUGAAGGUAUAGGAAAGACCACACUUGUCAGGGAGGUUUAUCGCAAUAUUCGAGGCCGAUUUGAGUACUGUGCUCUUGUGUCAAUGUCCCAAAAGACAGGCAUUCAGGAGAUUCUCCAAGCAUUUCGAUCACAGCUCAGUGCACAAGAUUGUGCCAGCGUAGAGGCGUGCCAAGAGGAGCAACUCACACAUAAGCUCAUACAAGUACUGAAGGGCAAGAGGUACUUUGUCGUGCUCGAUGGUGUGUGGAGCACACGAGCCUGGAGAUUGAUCAGAUGUGCUUUGCCUGGAAACAAUAAUGGAAGUCGAAUAUUGAUGACGACAUGCAUCGGUAACAUAGCUACGUCAUGUUGCUCAACUACUGGAGACUCAAUAUAUCGAAUGAAAUGCCUUCCAGAACUAGAAGGAAGAAGAUUAUUCAUCGAGAGAACAUUUGGCCUUGAAAAGUGGCAGUUUCCUUCUUGGUUAAAAGAAGUUUUCAAUGAAAUACCGAGAAAAUGUGGUGGGUGGCCAAUCGUAAUCCUUACCAUAGCUAGUUUGCUGGCCACUAAGUCGAGUUCAGAAGAGCAUUGGAAAAUGAUACAAAGUUCUAUUGGUUUAGCACUUGUGCGUCCCCACAGAAGAAAAGGCUUAGCGCUUGAGCAGAGCCAGGUCCACAGCUGUGACAGUUUGCAAGGAGUGAAAAAUAUACUGUACAUUUGCUACAAUGACCUUCCCCAGCAUUUGAAGACAUGCUUACUGUAUCUAAGCACAUAUCCGGAAGGCUAUGUCAUCGGAAGAGAUCAUUUAAUAAGAAGAUGGAUAGCUGAAGGCUUCAUCAGCUUGAGAAGUGAACAUGAUAACUUAGAAGAAGCGGGGCAGUGCUAUUUCAAUGAACUUAUUAACAGGGGGAUGAUCCAACCUGUGGGAAUCCAGUAUGAUGGUCAAGCUGAUGCCUGCCAAGUCCAUAGUUUGAUUCUUGGUCUAAUUGUAUCCAUAUCUGCUGAAGAAAAUUUUGUCACAUUGUUUGAUGGCCACGAUCAUGAAUUGGGCAUAACAGACAAGGUCCGACGGUUAUCUCUCAACUACCAUGGUCAACAGCAUUUUGUUGUGCCAUCAACCAUAACUUUCUCUCCUAUCCGAUCACUCACAAUUUUUGGGUCCACUCAAGGUGCACCGAUUUUUUCAAACAGUCAAGCUCUGCGGGUGUUUGAUUUGGAUGUUCAGGAAGAUCCAGGGAAAAAAUAUCUUGGAACUAUAGGGAGCUUUUUUCAGUUGAAGUAUUUGCGACUCCAAAUGAGUGGAGUUGUUGAGCUUCCUGAACAAAUAGGGGAACUGCAGUUUCUUGAGACUCUUGAUCUUACCAAUACUUCCAUCACAAAGCUGCCAAGAAGCAUUCUUCGCUUAUGGCGUUUGGUAUAUUUACUUGUCUGUAAUGUGGAAUUGCCAGAUGGAGUUGGUGACAUGCGGUCUCUGGAGGAGCUUUCAGGGAUUCAAGUCAACACCACCAACUCAACAAAUUCACUGUUGGGUGUGGGACAGCUGACUAAACUGAGGAUUGUUCAGCUAAUAUGGUCCAUUUCUGAUGCGUGUGGUGAUAUCAAAGGAUACGAGAACAAUCUGCUCUCAUCGCUCAAGGAACUAUCCAAGCUCCAAUCUCUAAGCAUCGAAAGCAAAGAUGGUUCUUCUCUCAGUUUCUUGGAUUCUUGGUCGCCUCAACCUCAGCUUCUUCAGAAACUCUGUUUGACAGGAGGAUAUUAUUUCCCCAGAAUUCCAGAGAGGGUAAUCUCACUUGUCAACCUUGAUUUCCUCGACAUCAGGGUUUAUCAAGUGGAAGACGAAAUGAUGAAUGCUUUGGGGUCCCUGCUAGUCCUGUUAGUUCUCAGCUUAUCAUCGCAGGUUGCAGCCUCAAAACAAAGGAUAGUGGUUCAACCCGGUUUGUUCCACUGUCUGACGAAAUUUACACUCACUUGCUUGAAUAGCUGGACAGGGUUGGUAAUCGAACCAGAGGCUCUGCCAAAGCUAGCAAGGCUUGGGCUUUUGUGCUAUAUGCAGGGAUGGAGAGAUCCUGUGUGUGGUGAUUAUGGCAUCAAGUAUCUCUCUUCUCUCAAAAAUCUCCAUGUUGAGUUCACCUUCGGGUGUGCAGGGAUUUGGGAGGUUGCCAUAAGAACCCCUAAGAAUCCGCCACCACAAGUUCAAAUAUUGGACGAACAUCGUAUGGUGGAGGAAGCGGAAAUCAUAGAAGCGGUGGAGUCCUUAUCUACACACGAAAGCACUGACGAAGAAUCUGCUAUCUACAAAGAUGCUAAAAUGCUCCCUAUGCCUCCCAUGUACGAUGUGGAAAUGGAUUUCCAAUCUUCACAGGAAAGCCCAGAAGUGUAUGACAUGUCUCCAAGCAUCCAUCCGCACAAACUUACAUCAGCGACCUCUGAGCUAGCUUUCCACAACCGUGAAAUCAUGGAGGUUGCUUUGGUGAGUGUGGCGACGGGGGUCCUGAAGCCCGUCCUGGAGAAGCUAGCCGCCCUUCUCGGCGAUGAGUACAAGCAUUUCAAAGGCAUACGCAAGGAGAUCAAUUUCCUCACUAACGAGCUCGCUGUCAUGGAGGCUUUCCUCCUGAAGAUGUUAGAGGAGGAGGAUCCUGAUGUGCAAGAAAAAAUUUGGAUGAAUGAGGUGCGGGAGCUGUCCUACGACAUGGAGGAUGCCAUCGACGACUUCAUGCAAAGCGUCGGUGAGAAAGAUGAAAAGCCAGAUGGCUUCAUUGAGAAGAUCAAGAGCUCGCUAGGGAAGUUGGGGAAGAUGAAGGCUCGUCGUCGGAUGGGCAAGGAGAUUCAGGAUCUGAAGAAACAGAUCAUAGAGGUGGGUGCGAGGAAUGCAAUGUACAAGAGUCGUGAGACCUUCUCCAAGAACGCCAACACGACCGUUGACCCUAGAGCUCUUGCUAUUUUCGAGGAUGCAUCAAAACUCAUUGGAAUUGAUGAGCCCAAGGCUGAGAUAAUCAAGCUGUUAACAGAAGAGGAUGUUUGUGCUUCAGAGCAACAACGACAACAACAACUGAAGAUAGUCUCCAUUGUUGGACCUGGAGGUAUGGGCAAGACAACUCUUGCGAACCAAGUGUAUCAAGAGCUAAAAGGAAAAUAUGAGUGUUCGGCUUUCGUCUCAGUUUCACGAAAUCCAGACAUGACGAAUAUCUUGAGAACCAUUCUAAGUAAAGUGGCUAAGAAAGACUAUGCUACCACUGAAGCAGGGAAUAUACAACAACUCAUCGACAAUAUCAUAGAUUUUCUAGCAGACAAAAGGUACUUUGUUGUUGUUGACGAUAUAUGGGACGUGAAUACAUGGGAUAUUAUUAAGCGUGCAUUCCCCGCUACAAGUUCUACCAGUAGAAUAAUCACGACUACUCGUGUAAACAAUGUCGCUCAUUCAUGUUGCUCGUCAUUCAAUGGCUGUGUUUACAAUAUAAGGGCUCUUGAUAUGAUGCACUCAAGACAGUUAAUUUACAGAAGGUUAUUCAGGUCUGAUGAAGAUUGCCCUUCAUACCUUCAAGAAAUUUCUGAGCAGAUAUUGGAAAAAUGCCAUGGGUUACCUUUGGCGAUCAUUGCUAUAUCUGGUUUGUUGGCUAACACAGAAAAAACAGAAGUUCUAUGGAAUCAAGUGAAAGAUUCAAUUGGUCGUGCACUUGAAAGGAAUCCUAGCGUCGAAGGAAUGAUGAAGAUAUUGUCACUCAGUUAUUUUGAUCUGCCUCCUUAUUUAAAAACUUGCCUCUUAUACCUGAGCAUGUAUCUAGAAGAUUCUACUAUUAAGAAGAAGGGCCUGAUAAGAAGAUGGAUUGCUGAAGGAUUCAUUCAUAGCGAGGGUAGAUACACGGCAUAUGAGAUAGGAGAAAGGUGUUUUAAUGAACUACUCAAUAGGGGUUUGAUCCAAACUGGGGAGACAGAUGACUAUGGCAAGGUGGAUAGUUGUCGAGUUCACAACAUAAUUCUUGAUUUUAUCAUAUCCAAGUCUAUAGAAGAGAACUUCGUUACUUUACUUGGUGUUCCCAUUUUGAGAACUUGGGACCAAAGCAAAGUUAUUCGUCGACUCUGUCUACAAGGUGCCAAAGAAGAAAAUUUAACAGUACUGACAGCAGGUCUCGUCUUGUCCCAUGUCCGAUCACUUAUCGUGGUUGGAGGUCUUGUCAAAAUCCCUUCUUUGGAGGAGUUCAGACAUCUGCGUGUUCUCGACUUGAUGGAUUGCUCCAAAUUGGAAGAUCAUCAUCUUGAAAAUAUAGUGAGGUUGUUCCAGCUGAGGUACCUGAAUCUCAAAGGUACAGAAAUAAGCAAGCUGCCAGAACAAAUCGGGCGUUUAGGGUGCUUAGAGUUUCUGGACCUAAGAGGCACUCGUGUAGGGGAAUUACCUGUAUCUAUUGUGAAUCUCAGAAAAUUGAUGCAUCUACUUGUUGAAGUUGAUGUUAAAUUUCCUGAUGGGAUUGCGAAGAUGCAAGCACUAGAGACGUUGGAAGAUGUGGGGGUCUACAUUCAGCUAUUUGAUUUCCUGUGUGGCCUUAGCCAACUAAAGAAUUUGAGGAAUCUGCAACUUGACCUUCGUUUUGGAGUUGAUUCUGGCACUGAGGAUACGGAUGUGGUUGGUGAGGAGCGCAACAAAACUAUGGUCUCUUCCCUGUGUAACCUAGGCACCCAGAACCUCCGCUCCCUGACUAUUUAUGAAGGGAGUAGCCUCUUACAAGAACCUUUGUGCUUGCCUGCCCUUGAGAAACUUAUUACCUGGUCUUCAGCCAUCCCGCAGGUUCCGACAUGGAUGAGCUUUCUCAUAAACCUCCAACAGGUACGCAUUCAAGUGGAGGGGGUCAAGCAGGAUGAUUUUUGCAAGCUUGGGGCCUUACCCAGUCUUCUCGUUCUGCACCUUGUGGAGGGAGAAACAGACUCAAACGAAAAGCUCAGAAUUAGUGGUGAAGUUGGGUUCCGAUUCUUGAAUACUUUUAUUUAUGAUGCAUGUUCUAAACCAGUAGAUCUGAUGUUUGGCGCAGGGUCCAUGCCCAAGCUAGAAAAAAUCUUUUUUUAUUAUUUUAGCGCAGUUGAAGCCAACUCUCUGGGCUUUGGAAUGGAGAACCUCCCCAGCCUCACUAGUGUCAGAUGUCUUGGUGUUUUGGGUGAUGAUGGCAUUUUUGAAGCCCUGAAGACUGCCAUGGAGAGAGCAGUCAGCACACAUCCCAACCACCCUAGUCUACGCUUUGAGGGAAUUGCUUCUGCUUCUGGAGUUUAA